rnacentral:rRNA from 1 species
GACGAACGCUGGCGGCGUGCCUAAUACAUGCAAGUCGAACGAACUCUGGUAUUGAUUGGUGCUUGCAUCAUGAUUUACAUUUGAGUGAGUGGCGAACUGGUGAGUAACACGUGGGAAACCUGCCCAGAAGCGGGGGAUAACACCUGGAAACAGAUGCUAAUACCGCAUAACAACUUGGACCGCAUGGUCCGAGUUUGAAAGAUGGCUUCGGCUAUCACUUUUGGAUGGUCCCGCGGCGUAUUAGCUAGAUGGUGGGGUAACGGCUCACCAUGGCAAUGAUACGUAGCCGACCUGAGAGGGUAAUCGGCCACAUUGGGACUGAGACACGGCCCAAACUCCUACGGGAGGCAGCAGUAGGGAAUCUUCCACAAUGGACGAAAGUCUGAUGGAGCAACGCCGCGUGAGUGAAGAAGGGUUUCGGCUCGUAAAACUCUGUUGUUAAAGAAGAACAUAUCUGAGAGUAACUGUUCAGGUAUUGACGGUAUUUAACCAGAAAGCCACGGCUAACUACGUGCCAGCAGCCGCGGUAAUACGUAGGUGGCAAGCGUUGUCCGGAUUUAUUGGGCGUAAAGCGAGCGCAGGCGGUUUUUUAAGUCUGAUGUGAAAGCCUUCGGCUCAACCGAAGAAGUGCGUCGGAAACUGGGAAACUUGAGUGCAGAAGAGGACAGUGGAACUCCAUGUGUAGCGGUGAAAUGCGUAGAUAUAUGGAAGAACACCAGUGGCGAAGGCGGCUGUCUGGUCUGUAACUGACGCUGAGGCUCGAAAGUAUGGGUAGCAAACAGGAUUAGAUACCCUGGUAGUCCAUACCGUAAACGAUGAAUGCUAAGUGUUGGAGGGUUUCCGCCCUUCAGUGCUGCAGCUAACGCAUUAAGCAUUCCGCCUGGGGAGUACGGCCGCAAGGCUGAAACUCAAAGGAAUUGACGGGGGCCCGCACAAGCGGUGGAGCAUGUGGUUUAAUUCGAAGCUACGCGAAGAACCUUACCAGGUCUUGACAUACUAUGCAAAUCUAAGAGAUUAGGCGUUCCCUUCGGGGACAUGGAUACAGGUGGUGCAUGGUUGUCGUCAGCUCGUGUCGUGAGAUGUUGGGUUAAGUCCCGCAACGAGCGCAACCCUUAUUAUCAGUUGCCAGCAUUAAGUUGGGCACUCUGGUGAGACUGCCGGUGACAAACCGGAGGAAGGUGGGGAUGACGUCAAAUCAUCAUGCCCCUUAUGACCUGGGCUACACACGUGCUACAAUGGAUGGUACAACGAGUUGCGAACUCGCGAGAGUAAGCUAAUCUCUUAAAGCCAUUCUCAGUUCGGAUUGUAGGCUGCAACUCGCCUACAUGAAGUCGGAAUCGCUAGUAAUCGCGGAUCAGCAUGCCGCGGUGAAUACGUUCCCGGGCCUUGUACACACCGCCCGUCACACCAUGAGAGUUUGUAACACCCAAAGUCGGUGGGGUAACCUUUUAGGAACCAGCCGCCUAAGGUGGGACAGAUGAUUAGGGUG